AAGCGAAACUCAAAAAGUAAGUACUCAGUUCGGAUUGAAGGACUGAAAUUACGCCUUCAUGAAGCCGGAAUUGCUAGUAAUGGCAGGUCAGCAUACUGCCGUGAAUACGUUCCCGGGCCUUGUACACACCGCCCGUCACACCAUGAGAGUUGGAGAUACCCGAAGCCUGUGAGCUAACAAACGAGGCAGCAGUCGAAGGUAGAAUCAAUGAUUGGGGUGAAGUCGUAACAAGGUAUC
rnacentral:rRNA from 1 species